GGGGCGGGGAGUUUAUUGAGGCCUAAAGAUCCGUAGCCGGUUCUACAAGUCUUCCGUUAAAUCCACCUGCUUAACAGAUGGGCUGCGGAAGAUACUAUAGAGCUAGGAGGCGGGAGAGGCAAGCGGUACUCGAUGGGUAGGGGUAAAAUCCGUUGAUCCAUUGAAGACCACCAGUGGCGAAGGCGGCUUGCCAGAACGCGCUCGACGGUGAGGGAUGAAAGCUGGGGGAGCAAACCGGAUUAGAUACCCGGGUAGUCCCAGCUGUAAACGAUGCAGACUCGGUGAUGAAUUGGCUUAUUGCUAAUUCAGUGCCGCAGGGAAGCCGUUAAGUUUGCCGCCUGGGGAGUACGGUCGCAAGACUGAAACUUAAAGGAAUUGCGGGGGGGAGCACAAA
rnacentral:rRNA from 1 species